rnacentral:misc_RNA from 1 species
GAUGAAGAACGCAGCGAAAUGCGAUACGUAAUGUGAAUUGCAGAAUUCAGUGAAUCAUCGAAUCUUUGAACGCAUAUUGCGCUCUCUGGUAUUCCGGAGAGCAUGCUUGUUUGAGUAUCAGUAAACACCUCAACUUCCAUAUCUUUUUUGAAAUGGGAGUUGGACUUGAGUGAUCCUAACGCUUUUCCUCACCGAAAAGUGGCGGGUUACUUGAAAUGCAGGUGCAGCUGGACUUUUCUCUGAGCUAUAAGCAUAUCUAUUUAGUCUGCCUAAAAAACAGAUUAUUACCUUUGCUGCAGCUAACAUAAAGGAGAUUAGUUCUUGUGCUGACUGAUGCAGGAUUCACAAAGACGGCUUCGGCCGACUUUGUAAACUCGAUCUCAAAUCAAGUAAGACUACCCGCUGAACUUAAGCAUAUCAAUAAGCGGAGGA